rnacentral:rRNA from 1 species
GACGUAGGGAGCGAGCGUUGUCCGGAUUCAUUGGGCGUAAAGCGCGCGUAGGCGGUUUGGCAAGUCGGAUGUGAAAUCUCAGGGCUCAACCCUGAAACUGCAUUCGAUACUGCGUGGCUAGAGUGCUGGAGGGGAGACUGGAAUUUACGGUGUAGCAGUGAAAUGCGUAGAUAUCGUAAGGAAGACCAGUGGCGAAGGCGAGUCUCUGGACAGCAACUGACGCUGAGGCACGAAGGCCAGGGGAGCAAACGGG